GAUGAACGCUGGCGGCGUGCUUAACACAUGCAAGUCGAGCGAACAGAUGAGGAGCUUGCUCCUUUGUCGUUAGCGGCGGACGGGUGAGUAACAUGUGUAUAAUCCACUUAUAAGUCUGGGAUAACUUCGGGACACCGGCGCUUAUACCGGAUAAUAUAUUGCUCCGCAUGGUUCAAUAGUGAAAGUCGGUUUUGCUGUCUCUUCUAGCUGCUUCCGCGCUGCAUUAUCUAGUUGGUAAGGUAACGGCUUACCACGGCGACGAUGCGUUGCCGACCUGAGAGGGGGAACGGCGACACUGGAGCUGAGACGCGGUCCAGAGUCCUACGGGAGGCAGCAGUAGGGAAUCUUCGGCAAUGGGGGAAAGCUUGACGGAGCAGCGCCACGUGGGUGAUGAAGGUCUUCGGAUCGUAAGACUCUGUUAUUAGGGAAGAACAAAUGUGUAAGUAACUAUGCACGUCUUGACGGUACCGGAACAGAAAGCCACGGCUAACUACGUG
rnacentral:rRNA from 1 species